UUCUCAACUUUAAGUUUCAGCAAACUAUUCUUUUUUCCUUAGCCGCAUAGCCACAGUCGGCAGUCCCUUCCCUCACCUUGUUCUCUUCACCUCGUCCCUCUUUAGCAACUCUCACUGAGUCAGUUUCCCAUCUCACCUCUACAUAGAAUCCUCACCCCUCAAUCUUGUCGUAGUACAAGUGAAAGGAAAGCAUCGCUAGCCCCUUAACAUCGCCGAUGCUUAUCCUUCCUACAUCACUGAAGCAGCUCGUCAGCGCUUCGCACUGGGUUUACUUGAACCAAGCCUACAGGCCUUGAGACUUGGUGGGAAUCCAUUGAGAAGCAUCCGAAGGACAAUUUUAGAUAGAGGAACAAAAGCUGUUCUGAAGUAUUAAAAGGACAAAAUUCCAGAGCAGUAGCAUUGUUCACAUCACCCUGAUACUCCAGAAUACAUUCACAAGAAUUAUUAAGCAAAAAGUGGGUGAGACAUCAACCACAAGAAAUGAAGAUCAACAGAGGAAAGUGAGGCACAAGAAUGCAAUGAAGACAAUAAUAUCUUAACUUUGCUACAGAAUAUCCCAAAGGAGCAAGUGUUGAAUACUUGGAUUGACACCAUUGGUGGAGCAAAGAAAGGAAGAGUGUAUGGUCUUGGCUCAAAGACUUCAGUUCUAGGAGAAUUAACCCAUGUUAGUUCUGUCCACUCUAAUGCUCCAACUCCUUCAACUGUCCCUCCCCAACAAGUUAUUGAAACACCUGAGUUUGAGCAAGCAGUUAAUCAAGUGGUGGAUCAGCAGGUGGAUGAUCGGGUAGAUCAGCGAAUGGAUCAGCGAAUAGAGCUUAUGCAGGCACAUUUUCGUGAGGAAAGAGAAGCAGCAGUCCAUGCUGUCAUGAGCCGCAUGUUUGGUCUCUUUCCACAACCACCAGGAAAUGGCUUUGGUUCUUCCUCACAAUCACCCCCACAUAUUUAGAGUUUAUGCUAUGGCUUUUGAAGUGUAAAACAUGUUUUGGCUCUAUGUUAUCAUUAGCUUUCAUCUUUGGAAGAUAGUAUUACUUUUUGCAAUGUAUGUGUAUGAGUAUUUUGUUGAUAUUUGAAUGGUUGAUUUUAUAUAUAUGCAUAUUGGAAUUUGAAUGUUUUCAAUUA